UCACGACUCUCUCCUUGCUUUUUUCGCUCUCGUUGUAUGAAGCUGAUAGAGGAUUUCUAGGAUGAGUUUAUUGGAAUAUCUCUUUAAAAACAACAGUUAUAAGAGAGUUUAUCGGGCAUGCCAAUUUUAUCAGUUUUAAGACGGAUAGAAAUACACCAAAAACAAGUGUUUCGUUUCCAUCUUAUAAUGACGAGAUAGUGCUAUCGUUGCAUAAUUUUCUCCAGUAUCGUGCAAAGAUUUUAUCAAAAGGCAUCAGUUCAUCGCGGUAUGGGUCUUCUAUUUUAUCAGAAUAGAAGAUGUUUCGACUGCAAUCAAAAUGACGCUUGGUUAUUGCAACAUGACAGAUUACAAAUUGCAUAACGAUGGAUGGUUUUGUGAUAUGAAGGAGAGGGUGUGAUGAAUAUAACAGCGAUGGCGAUGAAGGAUUAGCCCCAAAAGUCUGCGAUGAAAGCAAAAAAACUUUAUGUAAAAAUGGACCCCUGGAGGACCAGUAAACUUGGCAGAACGGAGUGAG